rnacentral:rRNA from 1 species
AUACGUAGGGGGCAAGCGUUAUCCGGAUUUACUGGGUGUAAAGGGAGCGUAGACGGAAGGCCAAGUCUGACGUGAAAGCCCGCGGCUCAACUGCGGGACUGCAUUGGAAACUGGUCAUCUGGAGUGCAGGAGGGGUAAGCGGAAUUCCUAGUGUAGCGGUGAAAUGCGUAGAGAUUGGGAGGAACACCAGUGGCGAAGGCGACUUACUGGACUGUAACUGACGCUGAGGCGCGAAAGUGUGGGGAGCAAACAGGAUUAGAUACCCUGGUAGUCCACACUGUAAACGAUGAAUGCUAGGUGUAGGGGGUAUCGACCCCUUCUGUGCCGCAGUCAACACAAUAAGCAUUCCGCCUGGGGAGUACGGCCGCAAGGUUGAAACUCAAAGGAAUUGACGGGG